rnacentral:lncRNA from 1 species
ACGGAACUGUUUCUGGCUGCACCUGGCCUGGCUGCCUAGAGCAGGAACAGUUCUCAAGCUGGGGCAGAGCAGAGAUGAAGAAACAAGGACCAGAGAGGAAGGGGAGAGAGGCGCCGCUCCGGCAAAGGGUAAUGCAUGGAGACGCAAUGUCACUUACACAAGAUGUUGAUGGCAUUUACUAUAUAAAAACCUUCCUCCUAGAGUAAAGAGUAUCAGCAUUACAACGCGACAGACGGCGGCGGGAUAAGUAAAACAGACAGAAGACAAACAAGAUAAUAAUCUGUUUCCGAUCACUUAAGCCCUGUGGAGUUAGUAAUAUGCGGUUUGCAUAUUCCCCCUUGAGUUCGGUUUGCGGGAGGUGGCUGAGCGCACAGCCGUCGGACCGGCUCCGCACCGGGCGCGGGAGUCCGCAGCGAGACAAAGACGGGAGCUGUCCGCGGUUCUGAACCGGCGCGCUGGGGCGGAGCGCAGGGCUCCUGGGGCCGGCGGCCUCCUCUUCCCCUCUCCCUCAUUGUGACCCCUGCCUCUCUAGGCGUUUAUUUCGCUUUUUUGGGGCCCCGCCUUAAAACCUAUGUCAGAUAGAUAUACGGCGGCUGAUUAAAAACGAUUUCUCCUUUCUCAAAGAAAUGGUGCAGUAGAGGUUUAUUUUAACUGUGUGCUGUAAUAGACACGUGUAGCUCUUUCCACCCCUAAGGAAGUAGGGGUUCGUGUUUAAGAAUAGUAGAAUUAACCCUACCGAAUACCAUUAAUCUGCCCUGUGGUUUAUUCUGAUGAAGAAGGCAGGGGUUUCGUUUUGAAAUUUUUGUUUUGGGCGGUCAAAUCCCUGCCACUUUAACCCCUUCCAUAGAAAAACGCAUAAGAGCUGGGGAGGCUUGGUGAUUCCACCUGAAGGCAAACCAAUGAAAGCCUACUUUGUCCCCUACGAGAAGAAAGAGGGCUUGUGAGAGUCAAAGGCAUGGACAUCAAGUUGACUUAACCCUUGGAGGCAGAAAUGAGGUCUCUGAGGACAACAGUCUUCCAGAUUAUUCAGAGGGAAGUGAUUUCUUUGGAGAGUUUGGGCACAAAAAGGGUUAAGCUGGUGCUUCCUUCUAAAAGUUCUUGGUGUAAUCGAGAUGCCUGGCAUGGUGUACCACGAGCACCAACCCCUCUGCUUGAGUCCGCAUGCUGAACUUGUUAAGUAAGUUCAUGCAGGGGAGGAAGCAAAGCCACACACUUGCACUGUGGGGCCAGCACCCUUUCCUGAACCCAGCACCUUCCAGAGACUCCCCAGCACCCUGACCACCUCUUCAUCUGCUCUUCUCAG